AAAUGACAGAAAAAGCAUCCUCUCGAGUGUACUGUGGCGCCAAACCUCUAAUCCGAACGUAAGGCUUGAUACUUGGGGUCUAAACUGGAGGUGGGAUUCCCAAACUCUACUUCUGGCGUUACGUGUGAAGGGGAUGAAUACUUUAUAUUUUACAUGGAUUUAAACAUACGUAGAAGUCUAUUCUUUAACAAAGCAAAGAUGUCGGCUAAAUUCUAUUUGCGUGAGUGAGAAAUGGCAUUGAAAAGAAUGAUGUGAAUUAUGCCUAUUUGGCUGCGCUUCUAAUAUUCUCUCUCAUUUUGUGAUCGAUGGUUGUCACCAAGGUCUCUGUGGCUGGGGAUUUACCCAUUCUGCUUACUCUUUUCAAAUUCUCUCUUGAACCCACCUCGCCACUAUUGCCCUCACAAAGUCACUUCUAGAGCAAAACAUUUUGGGAAUGGAAGGACACAGAACCAUUCUUAAGAUUCGAAGCAUUCCAAAGAUUCUUCAGUAAGUGGAAGUUUGCGCAGGUCGCAGCGGAGCUCCAGGACUCUGAACACAUAAACCUGGAAUACUCCACAGAUGACUUCCAGGGCAGACAUUCCUGCAAUCAGGAGAACCAGCCUGACUGCGGAGGUAGAACUAAGUUCACAGAGGAAUGGUAGAAAUCAGAAAGGAAGCCUUGAAGAGAGAAGAUUGGAAUUAUGCCCAUGGAGGCCAGAAGAGGGCACUGAAUCCGCGGAGAUGGACUUAUAAACUGCAGAACGUGGGUCCUGGUACAGAAUUUGGGUACUUUACAAAAACAAUAUGCACUCUAAACCACGAAGCCAGCGUUCCAGCCCCCAACUCUUCAGACUCCCACCCAGUUCUCUCUUCUUCACAUUUAUAAAAAAUAUUUAAUAUUUACUG
ensembl:antisense Gm17115 predicted gene 17115